rnacentral:tRNA from 2 species
GGGCCCAUAGCUCAGCUGGGAGAGCGCCUGAUUUGCAUUCAGGAGGUCAGGAGUUCGAUCCUCCUUGGGUCCA